GGGGGUGUAGCUUAGCAGUAAAGCACUUGCCUAGCAUACACAAGGCCCUGGAUCUGAGCCCCAGCACCACCA
rnacentral:tRNA from 1 species